rnacentral:rRNA from 1 species
GACGAACGCUGGCGGCGUGCUUAACACAUGCAAGUCGAACGGAAAGGCCCUGCUUUUGUUGCGUGCUCGUUUGGCGAACGGGUGAGUAACACAUGAGUAACCUGCCCUUGACUUUGGGAUAACUUCAGGAAACUGGGGCGAUUACCGGAUAUGAUCUCCUGCUGCAUGGUGGUGAUUGGAAAGUGUCGGCGGUUGGGGCUGGACUCGCGGCUUAUCAGCUUCUUUGUGGGGUAGUGGCUGACAACGGCUUUGACGGGUAGGCGGCCUGAGAGGUGGAACGGGGUCAUGGGGACUGCGAGACGGAGCAGAAGCGUACGGUAGGCAGCAGUGGGGAACAUUGCAGAAUGGGGGGGAGCGUGAUGCAGCAACGCCGCGUGCGGGAUGAUGGCCUUCGGGUUGUAAACCGCUGUCGCCGGUGACGAAGAGUGAGUGACGGUAAUGGGUAAAGAAGCCCCGGCUAACUACGUG